GAUGAACGCUGGCGGCGUGCUUAACACAUGCAAGUCGAACGGAAAGGCCCAAGCUUGCUUGGGUACUCGAUUGCCGAACGGGUGAGUAACACGUGGGUGAUCUGCCCUGCACUUCGGGAUAAGCCUGGGAAACUGGGUCUCAUACCGGAUAGGACCUCUUCUUGGGUGUUGUUGUGGAAAGUUUUCUCGGUGUGGGAUGAGCUCGCGGCGUAUCAGCUUGUUGGUGGGGUAAUGGCCUACCAAGGCGUCGACGGGUAGCCGACACGAGAGGGUGUAGGGCCAGUCUAGAACCGUGAGACGGCCAACACUAGUGCGGGAGGCAGCAGUGGGGAAUAUUGCACAAUGCGCGCCAGCCUGAGGGAGGAAGGUCGCGUGAGGGUUGACGGCCGUCGGGAUGUAAGCUCCAAUCGCUAGGGAAGAAGCGUCUUUGUGACGGUACCUGGAGAAGAAGCACCGGCUAACUACGUG
rnacentral:rRNA from 1 species